UAACUAACUAAAAAAAUGGAUUGGGUUUUUUUUUUCGGUAUAAAAGCGUCCUCGAAACAAAACAACAUGGAGAUGGUGUUUGUGUGGUAGAGAAGAUGACGCUCCAGUCACGUAAUCGAAAGCAGCACCCGUCAAACGAACGUCAGCCUUCGCAAACAUGGCGUGCUACACGCGUCCCCCAUAUUUCACGCAGAGUUUCAAGUUCAACUGAUAAAGAUGAACAUGCUCCACGUGAGGGACCAUCGCUUGGCAGAGCAUUUUGUGCCUCCCGUGGCGCACAUCGCCCACAAAUCGUCUCCCCGGCGACUUCCAGUGAUGACGGUAAAAAGGCCGCAUUGCUUUGCAUGGCCGACGCCGGGCACACGUCAGCAAUUCGCUGGAAUCGUCUCGUAAUGACGACGGCGAAGACGAUGAAUUGGAGAGCGAUUUGGAUCCCGAUCUGUCGGACGAAUACGUGCCUUCGGAUAUAACGGAAAGCAGCUGAGAGUUCUCGCCAGAGCCGCUGGAACGAGGAGAUUGUCCAACCAGAAGCAAUAAGAUGAUGACUCCUUGCUUUGGUGGUGGAAAGAAAGGUCGUGCAUCUGGACGUGGUGGGAUGAAUCAAUGUGGUGACAAACUGGAUGGAAGCCAAAAAACAUCUUCUCCACAGCUGCACUUUUGUUCAUAGUUCAAUAGUUUUGUUGUGUGCAAAUAAAUUAUUUUGCUACAAAAA